CAGCCGUAAACGAUGUGCGUUAGGUGUAUCGACGACCACGAGUUGUCGAGGUGCCGAAGGGAAACCGUGAAACGUACCGCCUGGGAAGUACGGUCGCAAGGCUGAAACUUAAAGGAAUUGGCGGGGGAGCACCACAACAGGUGGAGCCUGCGGUUUAAUUGGACUCAACGCCGGACAUCUCACCGGAUAAGACAGCUGAAUGAUUGCCGGGCUGAAGACUCUGCAUGACUAGCUGAGAGGUGGUGCAUGGCGUCAGUGACUGU
rnacentral:rRNA from 1 species